UACGGAGGGUGCAAGCGUUGUCCGGAAUCACUGGGCGUAAAGGGCGCGUAGGCGGCUCAUGAAGGCUGUGGUGAAAGUCCGGGCUCAACCUCGGAUCGGCCGUGGCGACUCGUGGGCUGGAGCACUGUAGAGGCGGGUGGAAUUCCGGGUGUAGCGGUGGAAUGCGUAGAGAUCCGGAAGAACACCAGUGGCGAAGGCGGCCCGCUGGGCAGUGGCUGACGCUGAGGCGCGACAGCGUGGGGAGCAAACGAG
rnacentral:rRNA from 1 species